GGAGAGUCCGCCAUCGGAGCGGGACGUGCAGCAUUUUCAGUGGAAUUACGUGAAGAUGUCAUAGAGAAGGAGGUUCUGAAAGAGAAGUGGUUGAAACAAUGAGCAGCGUGGAGGAAGUGCUGCUGCUGCAGUAUCCCUUGCGUACUACACUGAAAGAAAUUGCCUGGACGUGCACCUGGAAUGUGCUCAAAUGAUACCGUGCAACUUGGAAAUGCCCAGAGGCCUUUAUGGUGAGUUUUGUUGAACAAAGCACAUAAGUUCGAUCGCUGCAUGUCAAGGUGAGCCUUUUCUCAUAAGUCACUGUAUUUCUGAUUCGUGUCUGAAGG
rnacentral:lncRNA from 1 species